rnacentral:rRNA from 1 species
AGGAUGAACGCUGGCGGCGUGCCUAAUACAUGCAAGUCGUGCGGUAACAGGAGGAGCUUGCUCCUUGCUGACGAGCGGCGGACGGCUGAGUAACGCGUAGGAACCUACCCCAAACUGAGGGAUAAGCACCAGAAAUGGUGUCUAAUACCGCAUGUGCUCCACGGAGUAAAGCUUCGGCGGUUUGGGAAGGGCCUGCGUAUGAUUAGCUUGUUGGUGAGGUAAAAGCUCACCAAGGCGACGAUCAUUAGCUGGUCUGAGAGGAUGAUCAGCCAGACUGGGACUGAGAACGGCCCAGACUCCUACGGGAGGCAGCAGUAGGGAAUUUUCCACAAUGGGCGAAAGCCUGAUGGAGCAACGCCGCGUGCAGGAUGAAGGCCUUCGGGUCGUAAACUGCUUUUAUAUGUGACGAAUAUGACGGUAGCAUAUGAAUAAGGAUCGGCUAACUCCGUGCCAGCAGCCGCGGU